rnacentral:rRNA from 1 species
UACGGGGGGGGCAAGCUUGUUCGGAAUUACUGGGCGUAAAGGGCUCGUAGGCGGCCAACUAAGUCGGAUGUGAAAUCCCCAGGCUUAACCUGGGAACUGCAUCCGAUACUGGAUGGCUUGAAUCCGGGAGAGGGAUGCAGAAUUCCAGGUGUAGCGGUGAAAUGCGUAGAUAUCUGGAGGAAUACCGGUGGCGAAGGCGGCAUCCUGGACCGGCAUUGACGCUGAUGAGCGAAAGCUAGGGGAGCAAACGGG